UUUACCCCUUUUACAACCCAAACCCCAAAAAACAGAACAACUAAAUCUACCCAAUAAACCAAAACCCACACCCGAAUCCCAUGUCAGACCCAAUACCCAACCUUACCCACUAGCCUUACAAAACCAUUAACCCAUUUAAACCUCAGCCCAUUUACAUUAUAAUCCAAAACCCAUUUACUACCCAAACCCAACUAACUACCCAGACCCACUUAAAC
rnacentral:lncRNA from 1 species